UCGUUCUAGCAUACGAGAGAUAUUUCAGUGAGCAAGAGUACAAGCGAGUCAUCAAACGCACGGAGAGAGGAAGCCGUGCGGCCGGUUCCACACUUCUCCUCAACCUGGUGACUGAGAAAGAGCCGCAGGUCCGUAAACUGAUAUGGAAAUGCUUCGUGAAAAUGCACCACCUGCUCCCCAAACUGGAGGAGUUGCUGAAAGCAAUGGGGGAAGAAGGUUCUGAUCUGAUCGAAUCGUUCAAAGCCAUGAAGGUUUCCUUGGAACUACCUGCUCAUCUGAAAGAUGUUCAGCAGAAGCACAUGGAGACUCUGCGAAUACAGACUGAAAAACUGAGAGUGAACACCAUCCUGAUGAACGGGAAGGUUAAGGUUUUCCAG